CUGGGUUGGGUUUUAUGGCUCCAAACUAUGGGUGUGUCACCAUGCAGGAAGUAGUGGGAAAACCGAGGGAGGGGCAGAGGAAAAAAGGAGGGUGGAGAACUGUGUUUAGUGAGUGCCUACUGGAUGCUGGGAGUUGCAUACAGGCGUUACCAUAUUUAAAUUAAACCUUGAGAUGAAGGGACUGAAGGACAGAGAGAAAUUGCAUGCCUGGAGUCUCACUGCUAGUACAUAGAGGUGUUAUCUUCCUUUCAUCUAACAUAUUUAUUGAGCACCUACUAUGUACCAGGCCUUGUGCUAGACUCUGGGGAUAUGGAAAUGAGCAAAGUAGAUGUACCCCCGAAACUUGUGGACUAAUGGAGGAGACGGACCUUAAUCAGAUCGUCAUUCAAAGAUACUAUUACAAACUGUUCUGAGAGCCGAGGAAGCAGGAAGGAGCUGUGAGAGACUGAGCUCUAACCUUGGCCAUCAAAGACAAGCUGUGCAGCUCUGGCUGCCUUGAUAACUGGGGGGACAGGAGGAGCACGGCUUUCCCAUCUUGUACGGGGACUCGCCAAUCCAGUUGCCCCUGGAAGAGAAAAGGACCCAGGGAGACAGAGGAGCAUUAGGUGAGUAACCUUCACACAGAUGUCCAGAUCUCAGCGCUGCCACUGACCAGCCCUGGGGACCUGGGGCAAGUCACAUCUGCAAGCCUUGGUUUCUUUUUUUUCUUUCCUUUAUUUAUUUAUUUAUUUAUUUUGUUUUGCUCUGUCACCCAUAGCU
rnacentral:lncRNA from 1 species